GGGUAACCUGCGGAGGGAUCAUUACACAAAUAUGAAGGCGGGCUGGAACCUCUCGGGGUUACAGCCUUGCUGAAUUAUUCACCCUUGUCUUUUGCGUACUUCUUGUUUCCUUGGUGGGUUCGCCCACCACUAGGACAAACAUAAACCUUUUGUAAUUGCAAUCAGCGUCAGUAACAAAUUAAUAAUUACAACUUUCAACAACGGAUCUCUUGGUUCUGGCAUCGAUGAAGAACGCAGCGAAAUGCGAUAAGUAGUGUGAAUUGCAGAAUUCAGUGAAUCAUCGAAUCUUUGAACGCACAUUGCGCCCUUUGGUAUUCCAAAGGGCAUGCCUGUUCGAGCGUCAUUUGUACCCUCAAGCUUUGCUUGGUGUUGGGCGUCUUGUCUCUAGCUUUGCUGGAGACUCGCCUUAAAGUAAUUGGCAGCCGGCCUACUGGUUUCGGAGCGCAGCACAAGUCGCACUCUCUAUCAGCAAAGGUCUAGCAUCCACUAAGCCUUUUUCAACUUUGACCUCGGAUCAGUAGGGAACCCAGCUCCU
rnacentral:rRNA from 1 species